rnacentral:rRNA from 1 species
CCUACGGGAGGCAGCAGUAGGGAAUCUUCCGCAAUGGACGAAAGUCUGACGGAGCAACGCCGCGUGAACGAUGAAGGCCUUCGGGUCGUAAAGUUCUGUUGUUAGGGAAGAACAAGUGCUAGUUAAAUAAGCUGGCACCUUGACGGUACCUAACCAGAAAGCCACGGCUAACUACGUGCCAGCAGCCGCGGUAAUACGUAGGUGGCAAGCGUUGUCCGGAAUUAUUGGGCGUAAAGCGCGCGCAGGCGGUUUCUUAAGUCUGAUGUGAAAGCCCCCGGCUCAACCGGGGAGGGUCAUUGGAAACUGGGAAACUUGAGUGCAGAAGAGGAAAGUGGAAUUCCAAGUGUAGCGGUGAAAUGCGUAGAGAUUUGGAGGAACACCAGUGGCGAAGGCGACUUUCUGGUCUGUAACUGACGCUGAGGCGCGAAAGCGUGGGGAGCAAACAGGAUUAGAUACCCUGGUAGUCCACGCUGUAAACGAUGAGUGCUAAGUGUUAGAGGGUUUCCGCCCUUUAGUGCUGAAGUUAACGCAUUAAGCACUCCGCCUGGGGAUACGGUCGCAAGACUGAAACUCAAAUGAAUUGACGG